rnacentral:rRNA from 1 species
AGUGAACGCUGGCGGUAGGCCUAACACAUGCAAGUCGAACGGCAGCACAGUAAGAGCUUGCUCUUACGGGUGGCGAGUGGCGGACGGGUGAGGAAUACAUCGGAAUCUACUUUUUCGUGGGGGAUAACGUAGGGAAACUUACGCUAAUACCGCAUACGACCUACGGGUGAAAGCAGGGGAUCUUCGGACCUUGCGCGAUUGAAUGAGCCGAUGUCGGAUUAGCUAGUUGGCGGGGUAAAGGCCCACCAAGGCGACGAUCCGUAGCUGGUCUGAGAGGAUGAUCAGCCACACUGGAACUGAGACACGGUCCAGACUCCUACGGGAGGCAGCAGUGGGGAAUCUUGGACAGUGGGCGCAAGCCUGAUCCAGCCAUACCGCGUGGGUGAAGAAGGCCUUCGGGUUGUAAAGCCCUUUUGUUGGGAAAGAAAAGCAGCAGGUUAAUACCCCGCUGUUCUGACGGUACCCAAAGAAUAAGCACCGGCUAACUUCGUG